AUGGACUCAUAGGGACUCUUGAUGUUGAGGAGAAGGCGAGAGCAAAGGACAUACGUGGGAAAGGAGUUGUUGGUGCUUCAAGUGCCAAUCUUGUUCAGAAGAACAACUCCCACAAGAAUAAGAAAAAACCACCGCAGAACCAACUAAAGACUAAGAAGACAACCACUUUUAAGAAGAAGAAGAAGACGGGAGCUUGCUAUGUGUGCGCUAGUACGGAUCACUUUGCUGCAAAGUGUCCGAACCACAAAGGCAACGACUCCGCCAACAUGGUUAUUAGCGAGCCUGGAGGAACAUCGGGACCGGCGGGACUUCCUCCUUGCUGAUGGGGAACGGAUCACAUGCGCGUGUUCUUGGUGUUGGUACGGCAAAUCUAAAGUUUACUUCGGGGAAGACCGUGCAGCUGAAGAACGUGCAGCAUGUCCCCACCAUCAAGAAGAAUUUAGUCAGCGGCUCUCUAUUGUGUAGAGAUGGUUUCAAAUUAGUCUUUGAGUCCAAUAAAUGUAUCUUGUCUAAGUUUGGUACUUUUGUUGGAAAAGGUUAUGAAAGCGGAGACUUGUUCCGUCUUUCUUUGUCAGAUGUUUGUAAUAAAGUUGCAUACAAUGUUAUUAACGUUGAUGAAACAAAUGUUUGGCAUUCGAGGCUUUGUCACGUUAAUUUUGGUUGUAUGAUGCGCUUAGCUAAUUUGAGCUUAAUUCCAAA